rnacentral:tRNA from 1 species
GCCCAGGUGGUGGAAUUGGCAGACACGCUAUCUUGAGGGGGUAGUGGUGAUGAACCGUGCGGGUUCGAGUCCCGCCUUCGGCA